rnacentral:rRNA from 1 species
CGCUGGCGGCAUGCCUAACACAUGCAAGUCGAACGGGCAGCACGGGAGCAAUCCUGGUGGCGAGUGGCGAACGGGUGAGUAAUAUAUCGGAACGUGCCCAGUCGUGGGGGAUAACGUAGCGAAAGCUACGCUAAUACCGCAUACGAUCUAUGGAUGAAAGCGGGGGAUCGCAAGACCUCAUGCUCAUGGAGCGGCCGAUAUCUGAUUAGCUAGUUGGUGGGGUAAAGGCCUACCAAGGCUUCGAUCAGUAGCUGGUCUGAGAGGACGACCAGCCACACUGGAACUGAGACACGGUCCAGACUCCUACGGGAGGCAGCAGUGGGAAAUUUGGACAAUGGGCGAAAGCCUGAUCCAGCAAUGCCGCGUGAGUGAAGAAGGCCUUCGGGUUGUAAAGCUCUUUUGUCAGGGAAGAAACGGUGGACUCUAAUACAGAUCACUAAUGACGGUACCUGAAGAAUAAGCACCGGCUAACUACGUG